ACGAAUGGUUCACUGGUAGAAUGCUUGCCUAACAUCCAUAUGAUCCUGGGUUCAAUCCCCAGUAUUGGG
rnacentral:tRNA from 1 species